AGCGAACGCUGGCGGCAGGCCUAACACAUGCAAGUCGAACGAACCCUUCGGGGUUAGUGGCGGACGGGUGAGUAACACGUGGGAACGUGCCUUUAGGUUCGGAAUAACUCAGGGAAACUUGUGCUAAUACCGAAUGUGCCCCUCGGGGGAAAGAUUUAUCGCCUUUAGAGCGGCCCGCGUCUGAUUAGCUAGUUGGUGAGGUAAUGGCUCACCAAGGCUACGAUCAGUAGCUGGUCUGAGAGGAUGACCAGCCACAUUGGGACUGAGACACGGCCCAAACUCCUACGAGAGGCAGCAGUGGGGAAUCUUGCGCAAUGGGCGAAAGCCUGACGCAGCCAUGCCGCGUGGAUGAUGAAGGUCUUAGGAUCGUAAAAUCCUUUCACCGGUGAAGAUAAUGACUGUAGCCGGAGAAGAAGCCCCAGCUAACUUCGUGCCAGCAGCCGCCGCCGUAA
rnacentral:rRNA from 1 species